rnacentral:tRNA from 1 species
CCUCUCGUGGUGUAAGGGUAACGCGCUCUAUCUAAUGAACUGGAAGUCAUAAGUUCGAUUCUCAUCGAGAAGA